CACGUAGGCUGUUAUGUAAGUCAGGGGUGAAAGCCCACGGCUCAACCGUGGAACUGCCCUUGAUAUUGCACGACUCGAAUCCGGGAGAGGGUGGCGGAAUUCCAGGUGUAGGAGUGAAAUCCGUAGAUAUCUGGAGGAACAUCAGUGGCGAAGGCGGCCACCUGGACCGGGUAUUGACGCUGAGGUGCGAAAGCGUGGAGAGCAAACA
rnacentral:rRNA from 1 species